CACAUAUUCACAGCAUACAGAAAGACAUUCCCAUCAACAGAUAAUCAACCAGAAGACCAUGUACAAGACCUUAGGCAGGGUCACAGCCAUUUCCGAAGCUUGGGAGACUUUUUCAGAGCUGAAGAAUCAGCUGUGAUUAACAAGAGCCCAGAAUCCCUGAAGUAAAAGCUUUGCUUUUGGGGGACAAUUGACACUGGUCUUCCAGGGCUGAGAAAUUAGCGGUGAUUAAGAAGAGAUCAGCAUCACUGAGACGAGGUCUUCUGGGAAGUGUUUCCUCAGAAUCAGCACACACAAGCUGGGUUCCAGAGGUGGCCAAGGUUGUACCUUCAUGCUGGCAGCUGAACUUGGCAGUAUGUAGUCAAGUGGACAACCAACACUAGCCAUCACAGAUGGGUCCCAGAGAGCAGCUGAGGCUUGGCACUGUGAGAGGGCAGAGAGGCCGCUGGUGAAAGUGCAGCCCAGUUGUGGCAGGAGACUCCAGCGUUUUGGAGAUGCCGGUACUGCAGGAUGACCACCAAGAACAGCAGCAGCGGUGGAGUGGAGCCAGCUGGAGCCUAGACAUAAACUCUGUGUGCUGCAGAGGGCAGAGCUGGAGCAGUGACC